rnacentral:rRNA from 1 species
AACGAACGCUGGCGGCAUGCCUAACACAUGCAAGUCGAACGAGAUCUUCGGAUCUAGUGGCGCACGGGUGCGUAACGCGUGGGAAUCUGCCCUUUGCUUCGGAAUAACAGUGAGAAAUUACUGCUAAUACCGGAUGAUGUCUUCGGACCAAAGAUUUAUCGGCAAGGGAUGAGCCCGCGUAGGAUUAGGUAGUUGGUGGGGUAAUGGCCUACCAAGCCGACGAUCCUUAGCUGGUCUGGGAGGAUGAUCAGCAACACUGGGACUGAGACACGGCCCAGACUCCUCCGGAGGGAGGCAGGGGGGAUAAUGGGACAAUGGGGGAAACCCUGACGCAGAAAUGCCGGGUGGGUGUUGAGGGCUUUAGGUUUGAAAAGUGCUUUUCCCAGGGAUGAUAAUAACGUUACCUGAAGAAAAGCCCCCGCCAAACUCCGUGCCGCCCGCCGCCGUAA